AUGAACGCUGGCGGCGUGCCUAAUACAUGCAAGUCGAGCGAACGGACGAGAAGCUUGCUUCUCUGAUGUUAGCGGCGGACGGGUGAGUAACACGUGGAUAACCUACCUAUAAGACUGGGAUAACUUCGGGAAACCGUAGCUAAUACCGGAUAAUAUUUUGAACCGCAUGGUUCAAAAGUGAAAGACGGUCUUGCUGUCACUUAUGGAUGGAUCCGCGCUGCAUUAGCUAGUUGGUAAGGUAACGGCUUACCAAGGCAACGAUGCAUAGCCGACCUGAGAGGGUGAUCGGCCACACUGGAACUGAGACACGGUCCAGACUCCUACGGGAGGCAGCAGUAGGGAAUCUUCCGCAAUGGGCGAAAGCCUGACGGAGCAACGCCGCGUGAGUGAUGAAGGUCUUCGGAUCGUAAAACUCUGUUAUUAGGGAAGAACAUAUGUGUAAGUAACUGUGCACAUCUUGACGGUACCUAAUCAGAAAGCCACGGCUAACUACGUG
rnacentral:rRNA from 1 species